rnacentral:tRNA from 1 species
GUGAGUGUAGCGUAUUGGAAGGCGCAUGGCUAAGAAUAUAUGGAAUAAUACUUGCAUAAUGUGUGAGUACCAUAUACUUGAAAGAUUGCAUGAGGUCUUGAAAACCUCUCAUGCAUCGUAGGUUCGAUUCCUGCCGCUCACG